CCGUGGUGUAGUGGUCUAUCACGUCUGCCUGUCACGCAGAAGAUCGCGGGUUCAAAUCCCGUCGGA
rnacentral:tRNA from 2 species